GUCUACAAACAAACCACCCUGAACACAUCUGAUCUCAUCUUGAAGCUAAGCAGGUCAGGCCCAGCUAGUACUUGGGACAGGGAGUAAUGACAACGAAAAUGACUUAGCUUUGUAAUUU
rnacentral:rRNA from 1 species